GCAAUGGGCAAGGCGCCUGAUCCAGCCAGAUAGUAAGAGUGUGAUUAACACUCCACUCAAAAGAAAAAACAAAACAAUGAUAGAAGUUUUCAUUAUAUCCUGACUAAUUUCGUGCCAGCAGUCGCGGCAAUACGUGAAGGAUAAGCGUAAUUCAUCAUCACUAGGUAUCAAGCGUCUGUAGGCGGCGUAUCGAAUGUAAGCUAGAGUCUGACUAGGAAAUUGGAAUUUAAUAAGUAAGGAUAAAAUCUUUUGAUUUAUUAAAGAAUUUUAUGCGAAGGCAUAUUUCUCUGAACGACUGACGCUAAGAGACUAAAGUGUGGGUAGCGAAAAGGA
rnacentral:rRNA from 1 species